rnacentral:rRNA from 1 species
UACGGGGGGAGCAAGCGUUGUUCGAUUUACUGGGCGUAAAGGGCGCGUAGGCGGUCACUACAAGUCAGUUGUGAAAUCUCUGGGCUUAACUCAGAACGGUCAACUGAUACUGUCGGACUAGAGUGCAGAAGGGGCAACUGGAAUUCUCGGUGUAGCGGUGAAAUGCGUAGAUAUCGAGAGGAACACCUGCGGCGAAGGCGGGUUGCUGGGCUGACACUGACGCUGAGGCGCGAAAGCUAGGGGAGCGAACGGG